rnacentral:lncRNA from 1 species
UACCCAGUAAUAAUAUUAUAUACAUAUCUUGCACAUUGGUGGGCCGCAUGCUGCAUGGGUGGCGCAUCACACGCAGAAAACGUGGUCGAACGUUAUAUUUUAAAAAAGAGAGAGAGAGAGAGAGACACAGCGGUCCGUGUAUUUUGUCCCUUCGAUGAUGAAGCCUUCGUAACUUGUAGAUAUUACAGACAAAUUCCAUCUACCUAGCUCCA